GUAGCCUGGACAUAGAGCGGAAGGUGCUACCCCAGCUGCUGGAGGGAAAAGAAGACGUUAAUGAUGUUUGUGACCCAGCAGACAGCAACGCCUUGGGACGGUUGGUUACAUCUACA